rnacentral:rRNA from 1 species
CCUUUUACAGAGGGAUAGCCCAGAGAAAUUUGGAUUAAUACCUCAUAGUAUAAUUGAAUGGCAUCAUUUAAUUAUUAAAGUCACAACGGUAAAAGAUGAGCAUGCGUCCCAUUAGCUAGUUGGUAAGGUAACGGCUUACCAAGGCUACGAUGGGUAGGGGUCCUGAGAGGGAGAUCCCCCACACUGGUACUGAGACACGGACCAGACUCCUACGGGAGGCAGCAGUGAGGAAUAUUGGACAAUGGGCGCAAGCCUGAUCCAGCCAUGCCGCGUGCAGGAUGACGGUCCUAUGGAUUGUAAACUGCUUUUGUACAGGAAGAAACACUGGUUCGUGAACCAGCUUGACGGUACUGUAAGAAUAAGGAUCGGCUAACUCCGUGCCAGCAGCCGCGGUAAUACGGAGGAUCCAAGCGUUAUCCGGAAUCAUUGGGUUUAAAGGGUCCGUAGGCGGUUUGGUAAGUCAGUGGUGAAAGCCCAUCGCUCAACGGUGGAACGGCCAUUGAUACUGCUAGACUUGAAUUAUUAGGAAGUAACUAGAAUAUGUAGUGUAGCGGUGAAAUGCUUAGAGAUUACAUGGAAUACCAAUUGCGAAGGCAGGUUACUACUAAUAUAUUGACGCUGAUGGACGAAAGCGUGGGUAGCGAACAGGAUUAGAUACCCUGGUAGUCCACGCCGUAAACGAUGGAUACUAGCUGUUGGGCGCAAGUUCAGUGGCUAAGCGAAAGUGAUAAGUAUCCCACCUGGGGAGUACGUUCGCAAGAAUGAAACUCAAGAAA